AUCCGGCUGACUAGUCGCAAACAGGACGAAACGCGCCUCCUGUAU
rnacentral:hammerhead_ribozyme from 1 species